UAUAAUGAUAAACUCCUUUAAUUGCUGGAAACUCCCGUUAGGCUUUUAGUACCAAAGUGUGAAAAAUUAAAAGAUAGGGAUAAUCAGCAACCAAGACUCAAGAGAGUAAGGUUCAACGACUAGGUUAUAAACCGUACACUAUAAGCUAUUGAUAGUGGAAAUGGGGAGCAUCCUUAUAGGAUGAAGAUAUAGUCUCAUCUAUAUGGAAACAUAUAG
rnacentral:ncRNA from 2 species